ensembl:lncRNA
CCUGCUCAGAAGGCAAUAAAGAGGCAAAAGCUUGCUUUAUUUUGGAUGCUGACAACUUGAGGGGAGGAUAGACUUCUGUCCAAAAGCCCACUCUUUCCUGACCAUUAGUGGGCUAGAGCUUGUAUAGGCUGAGGGUGGGGGCUAUGUGCAGAAACAGCACAGCUCUGAUAGUCACCUUGAAAUUGGUCAUCAGUGUGACAGCUAGUCUUGAAUGCCAUGGUCAGUUUGUUCCCAUUUCCUUGAGGCCAGUUCUAGGAAUUGUGACAGCUAUGUCAUGGUUACAGUCGGGUCGUCAUAUACAGUUUAACUUCUACCUGGUGGGGGUUUCAGUACCUAUAAGACAGCUCACAGGAUAUAGCUCAGAAUAUUAUCUGUAGCCCUGGAGGAGGAACCAAAGGUCCUUGACUAUGCUUAAUGACUAAACUAUUAUUAUUUGGUGUCUCUUAACUGUUUUCCUUGUUUCUGCAUAUUCUCAUUUCUCUGAUUAACUUAUUUUUUGGCUAGUUUUUCCACAGACAGAAGGAGGCAGAGGACAUGGGGACAAGGACUGUAGGGUCCUGCUCCAUUUCAGACAAAGAAGUAGACAAAAGUCCAAAAACGUCAGUAAUUCCAAGAGUGUGAACAAGCAGAUGCUGGCAAGCAGCCCUCCCCAGCUCAAGUCUCGAAAGAACUCUUGUCUCAGAAUUGCUCUGUCUCCCCGUGGCAUAAAACAUCAUCACAGCUGUGAUACCGUCUUAUGUCCCCUCUUACCUGCCUGGAACCAUUCGCCUCUCAGUUCAUACCCAUGAGUUUCAGAGUGGAAGCAAGGUUUCCAGACAAUGAAGACUGCUCAUACUAAGUGAAGUAAGUCAGAAAGGGAAAGACAAAUACCAUAUCAUUUAUAUGUGGAAUCUAACAUACAACACAAGUGAACUUACCUACAAAACAAAACAGACUCGCAGGCUAGAGAACACACUUGUGGUUGCCAAGGCGGGGAGGGUUCGGGAGGGGUGGACUAAGUUUGGGAUUAGC